AUUUCAAAAGGCUCCACCUCCAAAAACCAUCACACUGGCGGUGAGGAUUUCAACAUAUGCAUUGGGAGGGGAGGGAUGCACACAUUUAGUCCAUUGGCCCUUCUCACAAAAACUACAAUUUGCUUGAAUUAAUGCCAUACUCAAGGCCUAUGUCGCAAGGGAUCUGAGAAUACAGAGGAGGCAAGUCAACAAAAGAAGAGUCAGGGGAAGUAUCACAGAUGAAGAGGCAUCUGAGCUCAGUGUUAUGGAAUGAAGGAAAUCAACACUCAGAGAAAAGGGGAAAGCAUGAAUGCAGUCCCCCACUACCACAAAUCAUGCAGUCGAGUUUCGCACUUUUGGGGAAAUCACAGGGGUCAGCACACCCAGAGUGCAAUGGAUAAACCUCGCCCUGGGAAAACCACCUUCGUGAUCAUGUUAUCUCCCCUGCCAGGUGCUCGCCCUGCUACCCCAGAUGAUCCACCGAGUGGAGUCACCUGGUUCUAACUACCAUGCAUAUGUUGGGGAACCAUCCUCUGUGUCUGCAGCCCAGACUCCUAAUGAGCUCUUGGACCCACGUUCGUGAGCAGGAUACAUGAUGGUCCACAGGCACUUCAGAACUUCAGCAAGCCACAGAACUCAUCAGUUACUCCCCUCCACCCUCGAAUGGUGUCCCCUUGUAACUCCAAUCUCAGUGAUCUAACAUAAGAAGGCACAAAGUUGCCCUAGUUAAGAAAACUGGGAGUCAUCUGUGAUGGCUUUGUGGUGUCAUUUUGGCCAGGCUAAACAAUAUCCCCAUAAUUCCCUUUCUAGUAUGUUUCUGAUUAGGGUGG
rnacentral:lncRNA from 1 species